AGCUUGCAGCCCUUAGCAUCUGAUAUUCUUUGUGGUUAUUUGGUAGCUUGUAACCACAAAGAAUAUCAGAUGCUAAGGGCUGCAAGCU
rnacentral:pre_miRNA from 1 species